rnacentral:rRNA from 1 species
AUUGAACGCUGGCGGCAGGCCUAACACAUGCAAGUCGAGCGAGCGGCGGACGGGUGAGUAAUGCCUGGGAAUUGCCCAGUCGAGGGGGAUAACAGUUAGAAACGACAGAUAAUACCGCAUACGAUUGGAUCGCCCAGGUGGGAUUAUCUAGUUGGUGAGGGAAUGGCUCACCAAGGCGACGAUCCCUAUUUGGUCUGAGGGGAUGAUCAGCCACACUGGAACGUAGACACGUUCCAGACUCCUACGGGAGGCAGCAGUGGGGAAUAUUGCACAAGGGGGGAAACCCUGAUGCAGCCAUGCCGCGUGUGUGAAGAAGGCCUUAGGGUUGUAAAGCACUUUCAGCGAGGAGGCGUUACUCGCAGAAGAAGCACCGGCUAACUCCGUGCCAGCAGCCGCGGUAAUAC